rnacentral:rRNA from 1 species
UACGUAGGUGGCAAGCGUUGUCCGGAUUUAUUGGGUUUAAAGGGUGCGUAGGCGGUCCUUUAAGUCAGUGCUGAAAUACUCUAGCUUAACUAGAGGGGUGGCAUUGAUACUGGAGGACUUGAAUGAGGUCGAGGUAGGCGGAAUUGACGGUGUAGCGGUGAAAUGCUUAGAUAUCGUCAAGAACACCGAUAGUGAAGACAUCUUACUAGGCUUAGAUUGACGCUGAGGCACGAAAGUGUGGGGAUCAAACAGG